UGGUCUUCCGUUUUAGGACGAAACGAAGGAGUUACGAAUAUAGUGUGUGAUGACUGGUAGUUGCACUUUGCAUUCUCAAAACUAACAUCAUCAUAUAAAUGCGUGACAGCUCAAAUUUCCCGUUUGAAUACAGAUAGACAAACUAACCCCAACUUUUUUCGUUUUUUUUUCAUCAUCUUCAGAAUUAAUCCCAUUUUCUACCAUAUUUUUAAUCACAUUCAUUCUCCAAAUUUCUCUGCAUUUUCAUUUUCAGUCACAUUGAGUUUCUUUGUUAUGGCUAUGGAACCUUAAUCCCAUUUUCUACCAUAUUUUUAAUCACAUUCAUUCUCCAAAUUUCUCUGCAUUUUCAUUUUCAGUCACAUUGAGUUUCUUUGUUAUGGCUAUGGAACCUUCAUCAUCCAGUUCUGGACAAUCCAAAAAUAUUUCCAGGAAAC
rnacentral:lncRNA from 1 species